CCUACGGGAGGCUGCAGUAGGGAAUAUUGCUCAAUGGGGGAAACCCUGAAGCAGCAACGCCGCGUGGAGGAUGAAGGUUUUCGGAUUGGAAACUCCUUUUGUUAGAGAAGAUAAUGACGGUAUCUAACGAAUAAGCACCGGCUAACUCCGUGCCAGCAGCCGCGGUAAUACGGAGGGUGCAAGCGUUACGCGGAAUAAGUGGGCGUAAAGAGCGCGUAGGCGGGAUAGCAAGUCAGAUGUGAAAUCCUAUGGCUUAACCAUGGAACUGCAUUUGAAACUGGUAUGCUAGAGUAUGGGGGAGGUAGGUGGAAUUCGUGGUGUAGGGGUGAAAUGCGUAGAGAUCACGAAGAAUACUGAUUGCGAAGGCGGCCUGCUGGAGCGUAACUGACGCUGAUGCGCGAAAGCGUGGGGAGCGAACAGGAUUAGAUACCCCUGUAGUC
rnacentral:rRNA from 1 species